AGUGAACGCUGGCGGUAGGCCUAACACAUGCAAGUCGAACGGCAGCACAGUAAGAGCUUGCUCUUACGGGUGGCGAGUGGCGGACGGGUGAGGAAUACAUCGGAAUCUACUUUUUCGUGGGGGAUAACGUAGGGAAACUUACGCUAAUACCGCAUACGACCUACGGGUGAAAGCAGGGGAUCUUCGGACCUUGCGCGAUUGAAUGAGCCGAUGUCGGAUUAGCUAGUUGGCGGGGUAAAGGCCCACCAAGGCGACGAUGCGUAGCUGGUCUGAGAGGGUGAUCCGCCACACUGUAACUGAGACACGGCCCAGACUCCGACGGGAGGCAGCGGUGGGGAAUAUUGGACGAUGGGCGCAAGCCUGAUCCAGGCAUACCGCGUGGGUGAAGAAGGCCUUCGGGUCGUAAAGCCCUUUUGUUGGGAGAGAAAAGCAGCAGGUUAAUACCCCGCUGUUCUGACGGUACCCAAAGAAUAAGCACCGGCUAACCUCGUG
rnacentral:rRNA from 1 species